AUAUUCAUCUGGGAAACACGUGUCCAAGCUACGUGAUGUAUUCCUAUUCCUUUUCAUCCAUUCUCUAUUCCAAGAAAAAUUGCUCUGCAAAAUGGAAGGGUUUUACAAGCCCUCAUAUGAAAUUCUCAGUUAAAUUGCAUACCUAGCUUCUUCCCUCCCUUCUCAUUUUUGUUUUGCCUUUUGAUUUUAGAUCCGUUUUGUCAAUUUUUUUUAUUCGAUGAGUUUCAAAUUUUCUUUAUAUAUCAAUUUUGUUGUUUAUGAUGUGGUAACUUUGCAUGCAUUAAAUCUAAAUUUGAUUCGAUGUUGUUGUUAUGGUCGUUUACUCCUCUUCUUCUUCGAUUUCCUUAAUUAUAGCUUUCUUUUUCAAUUUUUCAAUUGUUUCUCCUUUUGUUCUUGAUGUGGGUGUUUUUUCAAUUUGUUAUUUUUUCACAAAUAGGACUUUACAGGUACUUGGAGAAGAAACGAAAGGAAAGAAGCAGGGAACAUUGAGCAUUAUCAAGUACAUCGAACUUAAUCUUGAUUUUUUUUCUCGAAAAGACUUUCAACUGGAAGGAUUAGCAAUUAGAGUUACCCUAAUUUUACAACCCUUUCUCCUAUGUGGAAAGUCCAGUAUUUCUCCCACUUUAGUUGAUUUAACUUUCCAGUUGGAUAUGCAGUUUAAUUAUAAUGUUGAAUACUAACAUAUGUAUAUGUCAUAAGCAUAAACUAUAAUUUGCUUAUAUGACAAGGGAGACUUUCUUUGCACAUGAAGAAUUCUUUGUAAGAUAAGUUAUUUAUUUUUCAUAGGGUGCAAAAACAAUCUCAAUUUUUAACACAUCUUAUUCAUUUAUCUAAAAGCUAUGGAGAAUUACAGAUUUCAAUCAAUAGUAUAUCGCCUUCAGGGAAUUACAAAAUCGUCUCAGAGAUUUGUUCCUAUACCAUUUGCAUCUGAUGGUUUAACUGAAGAAUUUUAUGAUCUGGAUGCUUAUAACCCUGCUGAAAGUAAGUUCAUUAUGAAACUUCAAGUUCAUCCAGAACGAAUGAGCCAAGAAGAUAGUCACAAACUUGAUUUGCGUACAAUUAUAAAUUUCUAGUUCUACUAAAUUUUGAAAAACUAAUGAAGAUAUAAGUGUUUAGUUUAAAAUAAGCUAUAAGAUAGUCAUAUUAUAACUUAUUCAAUUAUUAAUUCAUUGAUGUAAACUGGUAUAACUUUUACCAGGAAUAGAGAGAAGACAUACAAAGAUACAUAAUAAUUAGGUGUCUUUUCCUCGAUCACAUUCAUAUUUAUCGGCUCCGUUGACUCCUCAAAGUCAAAGUGAAAUUCUUGAAGAAAGCUUUCAAGGUCACAAGGAAUGAUGGUGAGAAUCUCUUACCUGAGCCAGUUUAAGAUUUUGGUGAGUGAAUUCAUGUCGUGAGGAAGUUUGGAAAAUCAUCUAUUCAGAAAUCAGAAAAUUACAAUGCAAAGUUGAGCCAAUACACAGUAAAAUGGGUACCUUCUGUUGUGCUGCUCCUGAGUGUAUGACCACUGGUAAUAUACAAUUACAAUUUACUCCUAAUUGUUCUUGUGCUUUACCUGAGCUGAGCGUCAAUCGGAAGCCAAGUACAAAAGUAGUUAAAAGAUAGAGAUGGUGUCAUUAGGCAUAGCUUGGCUGGUCCAUUUCCAUCAGUUUCUCUGUUCAAUGAGUAUCAAAAUGUAGCGAUGGUUGUAAAUUCAUCAAUACCCACUGUACUAUGUCAUAUUUCCAGCAUUAGAUAGUAUGUUUAUCAAUAGUUUAGCCAAUUUUUAGAAUGUAUCCAAAUUACUUAAAAGUUGCACAGCUAGACUGUUUUAGCAUGAUAAAUGAUGUUCGAUCUGAAAUUUAAUAUGAAUUUUGUAUGUUACCCGUUGUUA